AAAUUGCAAAAAUGCGACACUUUAUGUGAAUUGCAGAAUCCGUGAACUAUCGAGUCUUUGAACGCAAGUUGCGCCCAAAUCCAUUAGGCUGAGGGCUCGUCUGCCUG
rnacentral:rRNA from 1 species